ACGCUGGCGGCAUGCCUUACACAUGCAAGUCGAACGGCAGCACGGAGCUUGCUCUGGUGGCGAGUGGCGAACGGGUGAGUAAUAUAUCGGAACGUACCCUGGAGUGGGGGAUAACGUAGCGAAAGUUACGCUAAUACCGCAUACGAUCUACGGAUGAAAGUGGGGGAUCGCAAGACCUCAUGCUCGUGGAGCGGCCGAUAUCUGAUUAGCUAGUUGGUAGGGUAAAAGCCUACCAAGGCAUCGAUCAGUAGCUGGUCUGAGAGGACGACCAGCCACACUGGAACUGAGACACGGUCCAGACUCCUACGGGAGGCAGCAGUGGGGAAUUUUGGACAAUGGGCGAAAGCCUGAUCCAGCAAUGCCGCGUGAGUGAAGGAGGCCUUCGGGUUGUAAAGCUCUUUUGUCAGGGAAGAAACGGUGAGGGCUAAUAUCCCUUGCUAAUGACGGUACCUGAAGAAUAAGCACCGGCUAACUACGUGCCAGCAGCCGCGGUAAUACGUAGGGUGCAAGCGUUAAUCGGAAUUACUGGGCGUAAAGCGUGCGCAGGCGGUUUUGUAAGUCUGAUGUGAAAUCCCCGGGCUCAACCUGGGAAUUGCAUUGGAGACUGCAAGGCUAGAAUCUGGCAGAGGGGGGUAGAAUUCCACGUGUAGCAGUGAAAUGCGUAGAUAUGUGGAGGAACACCGAUGGCGAAGGCAGCCCCCUGGGUCAAGAUUGACGCUCAUGCACGAAAGCGUGGGGAGCAAAC
rnacentral:rRNA from 1 species